UUUACCCCGAUGCUGCCAGUGGCUUGCAGAUAUCAAGAAUGAUGCCCCUUACGAUGACCAGAGAUUAUCAUAGGGAUUCUCAGGCUGAACUGAUAUGAUGGGGAAUCCAUUUCGACUACAGCUGAGAAGUGAUGCGAUACCAUACAUUUUUUUCCCUUCACAACAAMACGGAAGAUUCUCGAUUACAGGUUAUCUGGAGUCAUUCCAGUGACAGUGYCCUGCUGAAAAAUACCCCAAAGCSGCGGCGUUUUGGGUACACRAGCAUGAGGGAGGGGAAACCUUGUGGUUAUGAAGCACAACAAGAUUGUGGKACAGAAACCAGCAAGGGACACUGAAAGGAGAUGUGCAAAACCAGCAAAUCUUCUGCAAGAGGACCAAACAGUUGGUGGUUAAGAAGCCAUACACCACUUUCCGCAGAACCUUACCCAGCUGGCCGUUCAGACAGGACAAGACCAUUCGCUAUAAGCACAAAGAGUCUCAGCUUCCCCAGCCCACCAUGCCAAACACCAUUGGCAGUGUACUGAAGCCGGAUAAAGCCCAAUUCUGAUCUUUUUUUCACUAAUUGGUCUUUUGACCAAUCAGAUCAGUUCUGAAAAAGAUCUGAUGUGAUUAAGACCAAUUAGUGCAAUAAAGAUCAGAAUUGGUCUGCCUGUGUAAACGCAGCCAGUGUGGCUCAGCAUAAGACCAUGUUGCACAAGGGUCUCCAACCCUGUUCCUGUAGAGCUAYCCUCCUGUAGGUUUUCGCUCCAACCCCAGUUGUAACUAA